rnacentral:snRNA from 1 species
GACCUUCGGAAUUUGAAG